CAGCCAAGUCGUGAGGCGGAGCUAAUCCCUUAAAGCCAUUCUCAGUUCGGAUUGUAGGCUGAAACUCGCCUACAUGAAGCUGGAGUUACUAGUAAUCGCAGAUCAGAAUGCUGCGGUGAGUGCGUUCCCGGGUCUUGUACACACCGCCCGUCACACCACGGAAGUUGGGGGCGCCCGAAGCCACUUAGCUAACCCUUUUGGGAAGCGAGUGUCGAAGGUGAAAUCAAUAACUGGGGUGAAGUCGUAACAAGGUAGC
rnacentral:rRNA from 1 species